CGCGGGAAUUCGAUUGGCGGACGGGUGAGUAAUAUAUAGGUAACGUGCCUUUCAAGAGGGGGAUAACAGUUGGAAACGGCUGCUAAUACCCUAUAUGCCUUUAGAACAUAAGUUCGCAAGGGAAAUAUUUAUAGCUUGAAGAUCGGCCUGUACGGUAUCAGUUAGUUGGUGAGGUAAUGGCUCACCAAGACAAUGACACCUAACUGGUUUGAGAGGAUGAUCAGUCACACUGGAACUGAGACACGGUCCAGACUCCUACGGGAGGCAGCAGUGGGGAAUAUUGCACAAUGGACGAAAGUCUGAUGCAGCAACGCCGCGUGGAGGAUGACACAUUUCGGUGCGUAAACUCCUUUUAUAUAGGAAGAUAAUGACGGUACUAUAUGAAUAAGCACCGGCUAACUCCGUGCCAGCAGCCGCGGUAAUACGGAGGGCGCAAGCGUUACUCGGAAUCACUGGGCGUAAAGAGCGUGUAGGCGGAUAGAUAAGUCAGAAGUGAAAUCCUAUGGCUCAACCAUAGAACUGCUUUUGAAACUGUUUAUCUAGAGUGUGGGAGAGGUAGAUGGAAUUUCUGGUGUAGGGGUAAAAUCCGUAGAGAUCAGAAGGAAUACCGAUUGCGAAGGCGAUCUACUGGAACAUAACUGACGCUGAGACGCGAAAGCGUGGGGAGCAAACAGGAUUAGAUACCCUGGUAGUCCACGCCCUAAACGAUGUACACUAGUUGUUGUGAGGCUUGACCUUGCAGUAAUGCAGUUAACACAUUAAGUG
rnacentral:rRNA from 1 species